rnacentral:lncRNA from 1 species
AUAUGUUUGAUUAGAUGUACAUAUAGGAAACAAUGAUAAACUCACGAGUUAUUUGUGUAAAUAUAUAUAUUUAUGCAUGUUGGUAAAAUUGGAUAUUGUGAUAUGAAGCAACAAGUUUUGGACCCCUUUUAGGUGUGGUGGUACUAUCAAUUUACAAAAACAAUGAACGCAAAUCAUGCAUAUUAUUCAUUACGCUUACCCAUAUUUGUAGGAUUGUGUUUGUUCUCAUGAUCAAUCAAUUACCAAUCAUAAAAAGAAAAAUAAAAUAAAGCAAAUUUCUUGAAUAUAUAACUAUAGACGUCCAUUGCAAAAAUAUCAUAUUUAUGAACAAACUUUUUUUCUCUUAAAAUACAAUUUCUUAGAUGUAAACUCCCAUAUAGCAGAAGUUAUAUUAUUAAGCAAAUCCUUUUUAAUGGUAUUUUUUUAAGUGAUAGGAAAUUUGGUAUAACUUAUUAAGAAAUAAUUAUGGCUUUGCUCCAUUAUAAUUAGCAUAAUUUGUUUUUUUUUGUAGGAGCAUGCACAUUGUUCAUUUUUUCAAAAUUGAUGACUCUAUCUUUUUGACUUUUCAUGCUUAGUUAUGUUAGCUUUUUGACACCUUAUUUAACUUAUAAUAGUUAAACAAUCAGUGCAUUCCUAGUAUCAAAAAGAAAAAAGUAAGAUGGGGGCUCAACAGAUCUGAAUGAAAAAAAAAAAAAGUAAAAAACAUUCAUCGCAAUCAAAUUUGAAUCGUAUAAUUAAGUUUACGUAUCGUAAAAGAAGGUAAAACUAUAGAAGAAAAAUCCAAAUUAAAAAUGAUAUUUCGAAGUUUCAAUUGGAUAAAGUUUCCAAAGCUAAAUCUCUUGAAGUGUUUGUCCAUGACAUAAUCAAAGUUUAUGUUAGUCAAAAUAAUGAAAGAAAAUGAAGGAAUCAUCACCUUUUUCUUUGUUAUAUUGGUGUUUUGCUAAUGGGAUAACCGACAAUGUUCCUUCGACGGCGCGUACCAUCCACGCGCCU